AGGGAUGUAGUUCAGUGCUAGAAUAUCUCUCUUGCUUGCAGAGCAUCACAGGUUCAAUCCCUGGCAUCUCCA